AGGAGGCAGCAGUGAGGAAUAUUGCGCAAUGGGGGAAACCCUGACGCAGCAACGCCGCGUGGGUGAAGAAGGCUUUCGGGUUGUAAAGCCCUGUCAGGCGGGAAGAAACCUCUGUAGUCGAAUAGGCUGCAGAACUGACGGUACCGCCAAAGGAAGCACCGGCUAACUCCGUGCCAGCAGCCGCGGUAAGACGGAGGGUGCAAGCGUUGUUCGGAAUCACUGGGCGUAAAGCGCGUGUAGGCGGUCUGAUAAGUCGAGUGUGAAAGCCCGAGGCUCAACCUCGGAAGUGCAUUCGAAACUGUCAGGCUUGAGUACGGGAGAGGGAAGUGGAAUUCCUGGUGUAGAGGUGAAAUUCGUAGAUAUCAGGAGGAACACCGGUGGCGAAGGCGGCUUCCUGGACCGAUACUGACGCUGAGACGCGAAAGCGUGGGGAGCAAACAGGAUUAGAUACCCGGGUAGUCC
rnacentral:rRNA from 1 species